GACGAACGCUGACGGCGUGCUUAACACAUGCAAGUCGAAGGGAGUGGCGAACGGGUGAGUAACACGUGAGUAACCUGCCCUUUUCUUUGGGAAAAGCCUGGGAAACUGGGGCUAAUACUGGAUGGAUGGGGGUGGGCUCGCGGCUUAUCAGCUUGGUGGUGGGGUGAUGGCUUACAAAGGCUUGUACGGGUAGCUGGUCGGAGAGGAUGACCAGCAACACUGGAACUGAGAAACGGUCCAGACUCCUCCGGGCGGCAGCAGUGGGGAAUAUUGCACAAUGAGCGCAAGCCUGCUGCAGCCAUGCCGCGUGUAUGAAGAAGGCCUUCGGGUUGUAAAGUACUUUCAGCGGGGAGGCGUUACCCGCAGAAGAAGCACCGGCUAACUCCGUGCCAGCAGCCGCGGUAAUAC
rnacentral:rRNA from 1 species